GGAGCCGGGUGACCUUCCCAAGAUGGCGGCAGGAAGGGGGGCGCAGUCGAGGCUCGCGGUCCGUUCGCUGCGCUGCCCCCACGGCGCCCCCGUGGCGGCGCCGGCCCGUCGGGGCUUUCCGCGGUGGUUCCGGUGCGGGGCUGGCGGGCUGUGGGCUCGGCAGCGCCGCGGGCGGGCGGGUUUUGGGGGGCCGCUGACGGGCACUGGCGUGGUGGCCUCUCUUCGCCGAGGUACUCACGGUGCAUCCUCUGUUGCUGGAGGGGGGUUUUGUACUGGAGAAGCUUAUUUUAUUUUUCCGAAUGAAAAUAAGCUGCCCGGUAUGCCCGUGUACGCGUCAGUAAAACGCUUGCUUUGGUAGGGAAUUUAGUACUUAAAAGUAGGGGGUUUAUUUUAUUUAAGCGUGGAUGAGUCUCCAAUGACUCAAUAGUCACAACAAUGUCAAUAUUACAGCCUGGCAGGUGACCGCGUUGGAGAGAGGAGGGCAGCUGCCAGCAGGCAGCCCCCCGGGGAAAACAGGGGAGUUUCAGUGGUUUCUGGAGCCUGAGGAACAGGGAGAUGCCCUGAGCUAAGCAGGAGUUAAGCGCAGUCAUGCGGAGGCCUGGCUGUUACGAUUGAAGGUCGCUUCGUGAAUAUCGAUAGUUUCUGUAGGUAUUUUUAUAUCUAUAGAAAGAUAAAAAGUAAAAGUAGAAUAUAGAGCAUUGUGCAGGAGAAGAAGAACCCUUUAUGUAAGAUGUGACCUGAGGGGCAUCAUGCCAGGCUGUCCCUUCCAGAUUGGGAAGGAUUCAGUGUUUUGUAUGGCACGAUGGAGAGUUUUGAAAAGUAAGAUUUCCUCUUCGGUGCAGGUCCGAUGGGUGAGGCCUGGCAGCUUGUGCACUGCCACUGUGCUACCCUGCGUGCCUCUCCUUCCCUCCCUGCUCCGCAGGCACAGCACGGGAUCAGCAGGGAGGGGCGGCUCUGUCGUGGAGGAUCCAGGAGCUCGGCGUGCGUGUCUGAGCCUGCAGCUGCGAGCCGCAGCAGGACCCAAGGUCUGCACACGCCUGUGUACAGAAGAAUGAUGCGAGGACAGAAAAGUUGCAAUGGCAUUGCAGUUCCCUGCACAGAAAAUAGCCAGGGAGGUGAAGCAGGGCCAAGUGGUGCCGUUCGACUGCACCACGACUGGGAGCAUCAGCCAGGUCUUCUGAGCCACAGCACCUCCUGCUCUGCGGUGGCCACUGCUCACUGAUCCCAGUGAAAACAAACUUGUGUACAGGCACUCUGCAAAAUUCCCACCUUAGAUGCCACUGAAGCGCAGCUUUGGCUUUCGGGCAUCUCCCCUGCAGGCCGUCCCUUGUGUCAUUUCCGCAGAGGAUUCCUUGUUAGUUAAUUACUUCAUUUUGUUUUUCAUUUCCAAAGAAUAUCAGUUGACUUUUACAGCUUCUUCAGUGCUCCCCAAGCUUCAUGCCACACCUAAAUGCUCAUCUUCGCUGCCUGAAGGUCCUUUCUGACCUGAACGAUUCUAUGACUUUGGUCCGUACUUCAGCUUAUGGGAGAAGCUGCACGUUGAUUGGGUUUUGGAGAAAAAGAUUUGAAUGUCCAGCUGUGAAUUGAUCUUGUGUUUUGUCUUCCAGGUUCAUUCCCAUUGUGAUCUGCAAAUGGCAAAUCAGGGUUGCUCUUUAUUAAAACCAAAAGCGCUCUCAGAAUGUUGAUGGAGGUGAUGAUUGCAGGGGCGAUGCUUCUGGAGAAUAGCUCCCCCAUCUUCCCCAGGGCCUGGGCAGAGAGAGGUGGAGCUCGGAGUCCCCCCAGUCCUCCCGCGGGUGUUGGCGUCUGCAGCGCCAUCGGGACGGGAUCCACGGCGCAGCUCCCUCCUCCAGAGGCCGAAAGCUCAGCCUCCAGUUUCGUGCAGGGUGAUCACCUUUCCAAGGCAAUACAAGCACUUCCCAAGAGCAGCUGGUGAAGAUGGCGCAGAAGCAAGGACAAGGGUGCAGUGAAAAGUUUGGUGCAUCGAUCCAGCUUCCGGACAUGGUAGGGAAGACGCACCGUUUGAUAAAACACCAAACACGGUAGUUUUCAUUCUUUGUGUUUUUCUGUGCCCCCAUUGUGAUCACCCCUGGAAGUAUUAUUUUUGAAAAACAUAUCUAGGAGAGAAAUCGUAACCUGCUUUGCGUCCUUCUGCCUGGAAGGGUUGUGACACAGGGAAGUGAGGAAGGGGCUGGCCGGGGUCAGCCUCUGCUGAGCCUCAGCUCUGGCUGUUGCUCCUGCUUCCCGGGUACACCCAAAAGCUGUCAUGAUCAAAAGAGCAGGCAGCCCUUCUGUCCUGAGUCACAGGGGCCAUUUCUUCCUGAGUGACUCAAGAUGGGAAAUCAUUCUUGGAGCUUCAAAAGAAAAAAAAAAAAAACCUCAUGCAAUCAUUUGUAAGUGUGUAUAUAUACACAUACAUUUCCUUCAAUGAAGAAGAAAAUCUUAGAAAUAUCAUGUCACGUCUGGCUUCCUAGAGAAAAUCCUUAUCUCUGGGCUUCUGAAAUCAAAUGUCUGUGCAUUUAUAGAGCAUUUCCCCUCUUUUUAUGUGCCUCCCACAGUGAUCUUCUACCCUGCCCCAUGGCAAGAAGAGAAGAAGAGUUUGGUGAUUUUGCUGCUCUGCUCUCUCAAGGGUGUUGCAGGCUGCGUAGCAGGGAGUGAAGCCCUUGUCGCUGCUCAUCAGACACUUUCCUACAGAAUUCUCCCUGCAGUGAUAAAAUUAGACUGGUGUUAGUGAGCUGCCAAGUAGAGCAGGUAACAUUGGACAAGAAUGGUUUCUGAGCUGCUGUUCACUAGCACGUGUUUCCCCUUUCCAGCGCGGUGCCGCCGCCCAAGAAAGGAUUUUUGUGGGUCAGCCAGAUGUGCUCCUGCCUCCCACUGAGGCUCUGAGAUGGAGCCGAGUUUGCAUUCCAGUUUAUUGCAACAGAGGGUCAUCGGAAAUUUCCUCAGCUAUCUCAGGCACAGAGCCAUGGAAGCAAGUAAGCCUGAGCUCCUGCGUGCUUGCUGUGAGCCUUGAGACGAGUGUGCAUCAUUGCAGGCUUGGAAUUUAUUGAAAUGCGCUAAGGAAACCGGCUUUGGGGGGGGAGGGAGGGAGGGAGGGAGGGAAAUCCUCUCUUCACAUGUGCCAAUCCUUCUCUGAAACUCAUCCCGGCAGGUCAGCACGAAGACUGAACGUGUAAGAAGAUGUGGGGUGCAAUGGAGAACCUGGCAGGAGCAUCCGACGCACACGUGCACGAGUUUUGCUUUUUGCUUGGAUUGAAGCUCAAAAGUUGUAA